rnacentral:rRNA from 1 species
GAUGAACGCUAGCGGCAGGCUUAAUACAUGCAAGUCGAGGGGCAGCAGGCCCCGACGCAAGUCGGGGUGCUGGCGACCGGCAAACGGGUGCGGAACACGUACACAACCUUCCUUUAAGUGGGGAAUAGCCCAGAGAAAUUUGGAUUAAUACCCCGUAACAUUAUGAUGUGGCAUCACAUUAUACUUAUAGCUCCGGCGCUUAAUGAUGGGUGUGCGGCUGAUUAGGAGUUGGCGGGGUAACGGCCCACCCAAGCCUGCGAUCAGUAACUGGUGUGAGAGCACGACCAGUCACACGGGCACUGAGACACGGGCCCGACUCCUACGGGAGGCAGCAGUAAAGGAAUAUUGGGCAAUGGAGGCAACU